AUCCAGACCAAGAUUUUGUUUCAGCCAACCAGUUGAGAAUAAAGAGUCACAUUCACUCAACUGGUUGGUUGAAACAAAAUCUUGGUCUGGAUUUGUAAUUUCUGCACCUGAACUUUCCACUUCUGAUCAGUGCCCUCUCAAAAUCCAUAUAACAAGUCACAUCCAUACUGAACUCCCCCUCCCCCCAUAGCCCCCAAUACUCUCCUUACACACAGUGCUCCACCCCCUCGCGUGCAUUUUUAAAUAACAGCAAGGCAGAGGUGCACAACAAUUGGAAAUGCAUAUACCCUGUAUGAAUUUAAUAGAACGUAUGGAUGACGUCCUUGUCGCACUGUCGCUGCUCACGACCCCAUUGUGUGUGUGGCUUAUGCGCAAAUCCUCCGAUUUCUUUCCACUGUACUAAAACAUGCAACGUAAGUGAUUUGGAGUGCCUAAAUUGACCAUUUGUGUGACUGAGUGUGCACCCUGCAAUGGUUCCUUGGUUCCUGCCUUGCACCAGUUGUAAUGUUAAUAUUGUGUUGUAUUUUAUACACACGCAGGCACACAUCGAUAUACAUGAUUACUCGAUGAAUCAUCAGAUUAGUCAUUAGAUCAUUGAUAUAAUCGCUAGUGACGGUCCUUAAGCAUCAGAUGGAACGGUGUAGAGCUUGCCGUCACUGGGCUCUGGAGCAGUGAAAAUGUUCCGUGGAGUGACAAAUCACACUUCUCUGUGCUGAAAGUCUGAUGGACAAAUCUUGGUUUGCUGGAUGCCAGGAGAACGUUACCUGCCUGACUGCACUGUGCCAACUGUAAAGUUUGGUGGAGGAGGGAUAAUGGUAUGGGGUUGUUUUUCAGGGGCUGGGCCCCUUAGUACCACUCUUAAUGCUUCAGCAUACCAAAAUAUUUUGGACAAUUCUAUACUUCCAACCUUGUGGGAACAAUUUGAGGAAGGAGGGCCAUUUUCUGUUCCAGCAUGACUGGUCCAUGUUUGGUAAAGGUAUGUUUGGUGUGGAAGAACUUGACUGGCCCGCACAGAUCCCUGAUCUCAACCCCAUCGAGCACCUUUUGAAAUGAACUGGAAUGGAAUGUGUGAACCAGGCUUUCACAUCCAACAUCAGUGCCUGACCUCACAAAUGCUCUUCUGGAUGAAUGGGCAAAAAUUCCCACAGACCGAAUCCAAAAUCUUGUGGAAAGCCUUCCCAGAAAAGAGGCAGCUGUUAUAGCUCCAAAGGGGAGACCAGCUCCAUAUUGAUGCCUAUGGAUUUAUAAUGGGAUGUAAUAAAAGUUCCUGUGGGUAUAAUGGCCAGGUGUCCCAGUACCUUUGUCCAUAUAGUGUAUUAUACAUGGAAUUUAUAUAUGCUAUAGACAAUUGUAUUUUUUAGCUUUAAUUACCUGCGUAUGCCAUUCGAAAUGAGCACUACUUUCUCGACAAUAAAUGGAAAUUCAUCUUACUUCAAUCAUAAUAAAACGCAAAACACACAAGAAUGACAUAAUGAUCAUAAAUGAAUGGAAGAAUUCUGCAAGCAGAGUAAGUCUAAGGAAUCCACUGGCAAAGUCUCGAACAGCAAAUUAAUUCAUGCAAUACAGUGCAGGCUCCUCAUGCUUGCAGGAGAUCACCCUUCAUGUGCAGGUUUACUGAUAAAUCCUGUACACAGUGUUUUGAGGUUGAGGGGUAAAGCACUGUCCUUUAUUUGUAUUUGAGCUGCCUUUCAACAUCCAGCACACGUCUGCACUGUGUUGCAUGAAUUAUUUUGCUGUUCAGUAAAUCAUUUUGCUGAAAUUACGUUGGUACGAGACUUUACGAGUGGGUUUCUUAGAGUAAGUAAAGAGUAAAAUGGAAACUGUUGGUGAUCUGUCAUUUGUAAACAUACAGAGACUCAAAGGAGCUUCCUGGGCAGGUGAAGAGAUACAAUGGGUCAGAAAUCAAACUAAAAGAACCAAAAGGCUAUGCAGUCAGAAUCACAGAUCUGGAUGGAACCGUCUACUGGGGAAGAGAUGAGAUGCUGGAGAGUUGGAGUGAGCUGUACCUUCCUGAGCCAACGGAGAUGGUUGUCAUUGGUGCCGUUGAUAACUUCCAGUCUUUGGCAGAGGGACUGCAGCUCAUCGUGCUGGUAGACAGCCAGGGCGAAGUCUACUUCUAUGAGAAUGAGGUCCUGCAUCUUAGGGCUGGUUUAUGCUCCACGUUACUGUGCCAUUAGGCAUGAUGUUGCUACGUAAGUAGUGUUGCUGCUCGUACUUGCAUGUGUAGUUUAUGUCAAUUUGGACGAUUAAAAGUUAUGUCCAGCAGAGGGCAGUGUGAGAAAACCAUCUUGGUUGGCUGCUUUGUUUCUGGUCUUACUUGUUUGUAUGAAGUUUGGCAUGAAAUGUUUUGCAUUAGCUCCACAGCAAGUUGCUGAUUCUGUGAUACUGCUGCGGCAUUCUCUUUGUAUUCUACCCACUACUCCGCAUCAUAUUGGUACUUGGCUCUGUCAUAUAUCACUUUACUACCUCGUUCAAUAUUGCAUUAUAUGUUGUUGAUAUCUUGUAGUAGCUAGUAUUUCAUAUGUAGUAUUACAGCAGCAUUUUGAGAGAAAAGUCAGAUUUUCUGUGAUUAAACAGUGCAAUAUUUAUAAAGCAAAAAGGAGUUCAAAAUAAAUUAAUUUCUCACUAACACA